rnacentral:tRNA from 1 species
AGUAAUAUGGCUGAUUUUAAAGCGAUAAAUUGUAAAUUUAUUUAUAAGAUUAAAUCUUUUUUACUA